rnacentral:rRNA from 1 species
GGAUCCAGACUUUGAUUAUGGCUCAGGAUGAACGCUAGCUACAGGCUUAACACAUGCAAGUCGAGGGGCAGCGGGAUUGAAGCUUGCUUCAAUUGCCGGCGACCGGCGCACGGGUGAGUAACGCGUAUCCAACCUUCCGUACACUCAGGGAUAGCCUUUCGAAAGAAAGAUUAAUACCUGAUGGUAUGAUGAGAUUGCAUGAUAGCAUCAUUAAAGAUUUAUCGGUGUACGAUGGGGAUGCGUUCCAUUAGGUAGUAGGCGGGGUAACGGCCCACCUAGCCAACGAUGGAUAGGGGUUCUGAGAGGAAGGUCCCCCACAUUGGAACUGAGACACGGUCCAAACUCCUACGGGAGGCAGCAGUGAGGAAUAUUGGUCAAUGGACGAGAGUCUGAACCAGCCAAGUAGCGUGAAGGAUGAAGGUCCUACGGAUUGUAAACUUCUUUUAUAAGGGAAUAAACCCUCCCACGUGUGGGAGCUUGUAUGUACCUUAUGAAUAAGCAUCGGCUAACUCCGUGCCAGCAGCCGCGGUAAUACGGAGGAUGCGAGCGUUAUCCGGAUUUAUUGGGUUUAAAGGGAGCGCAGACGGGUCGUUAAGUCAGCUGUGAAAGUUUGGGGCUCAACCUUAAAAUUGCAGUUGAUACUGGCGUCCUUGAGUGCGGUUGAGGUGUGCGGAAUUCGUGGUGUAGCGGUGAAAUGCUUAGGUAUCACGAAGAACUCCGAUUGCGAAGGCAGCACACUAAUCCGUAACUGACGUUCAUGCUCGAAAGUGUGGGUAUCAAACAGGAUUAGAUACCCUGGUAGUCCACACGGUAAACGAUGGAUACUCGCUGUUGGCGAUAUACUGUCAGCGGCUUAGCGAAAG